AUGAGUGCCACUUUUGGCCGAGCACCGGCUCCAGCUCCGGCACCAGCCCCAGUGGAAAAGCGGUAUCAGAGCCUGCAAUCAUUAAGUGCAGAGCUGAGACAGGCUGCUGCAGAUACACACUGUGAUUACUUUUACUUUCGACUGGAAUGCAUUGUCCAUGUUUUGUCCAGAUUUGUUUUGUAUGGACCACAGCAACAUGAAGAGGAGAUAUUUUCCCUUUUAAGUGGUGCCUUACAUGAACUACAUAUCUUUUCUUUGCCAGUCCAAAACUGUGAAAGUUUUUCCUUUCUCAAUGAAGAACAACUGAAGUAUUUGCUGGACGAACAUUUCACUGUUAAAGAAAUUGCUGCAAUGUAUUCUGAAAGUCAAAGAACAAUCCGGAACAGAAUGACCCAGUAUCAUUUAUCUGUGAGGCAGACUUACAGUGAUAUCACUGGUGAAGAUUUCAUGGACUUCAUUGCCAGUUCUCCUAAUACAGGACAAAAGAUGGUCAUGGGACAUCUUAAAACCAGAAUUAUAAGUUGGAGAAUAUUUGUUCAUGGGGCAUUGAUGGCUUUAGUGUCCUGAUCGGGGACCUGAUGGUUGUUGUAUCAAGAUUUUACAAAAGGAUUGGUUGUCCACAAUCAGUGCAUAGAGAGGUUAUGGCGUGACUUUUGGUGCACAGUCAUCCAUAUCUACUAUGUGGCAUGCCAGGACCUGGAGGACAUUGGAGCUCUUGACCCAAACAAAGACGUUCACAUCACAUGUCUACAUUUUGUGAUGCUUCCAAGGCUCAACUGGCAUCUCAAGGUCUUCACUGACACCUGGGACAGAAACCCCAUCUUCAGAGGGCUACAGGUCUCCUCAGCAGCUGUGGGUGGCAGGGCUACUUGGUUCAUCACAACAGCUUCCUGAAGAG
ensembl:lncRNA